UCUCUCUUUUCGUUAACGGUUUCAAUUUCGUUAUCUUUCUCAUUCAUUCGAUUCUUUCACAAAGAUAUCCGCCGGCUGGAUUUCUUUUCACAAGUCUUGGGAUAGAUAUGAUAUACAUAAAAAUUUAUAUCUUUGAGCAACACAAGAAAUCCCCAUUCCAGUGGAAAAUGGAAUGAUUAACAAUCCAAAUCAUUAUUCGAACUGAAAUUGACUUUAUGAAGUCGUCUUUUUAUUCGUUUUUUUUUUUUUUAAGAUACAAAACAUUCCGCCCUGGAUAAGACUUUAGAAUACUUUUUCGUCUUUUUUUUUUUUAUUUUUAAUUGACAUAGACCAAAGUCGUUUAGUAAAAUGAGGAAGACGACGCAUG
rnacentral:misc_RNA from 1 species